AAAAUAUCUCCUUACGCUUUACUGGCAAGUACACACAUACAUAGAAUAGUAAAGGACUACUAUAGGCACCAGACCACUACAGCUCAAUGAAGUGGUCUGGGUGCCAGGUCCAUUUAGGGUUAACCCUGCAGCUUUAAACAUAGCAGUUUCAGAGAAACUGCUAUAUUUACUUUAGGGUUAAUCCAGCCUCUAGUGGCAGUGAGAAUCACUGUGAAAAUCACAGUGAGAAGACGCUAACAUCCAUAGGAAAGCAUUGAGAAAUUGUUGGAAGAGGGAGAAGAGUUCCCCAGUACCGAUGGAGCCUGGCACUGGAGAAAGGUAAGAGAUUAACCCCUUCAGCCCCCAUCAUCCUGGCGGGAGUGGGACCCUGAGGAUGGGGGGGACCUAAAGACCCUAUAGUGCCAGGUUAAUGAGUUUGUUUUCCUGGCACUAUAGUGGUCCUUUACUGUAAAAGAAAGAAGUAGAUAAAAGCAAUGUAUACAUUUCCAGUGUAUAUAGUGCAAUAUGAUUACCUAUUAAUGUUUCUGCAUGUGCCUAAUCAGUUUGCAUGAAUGUUGCCAUGUGCUGCUUGUAUUAUGUGUGAUGCAGCAGCUUUGUAUGGCUGUAUUUGUAGAUAUCUGCAUGAGCAAUUUGUGUUACCCCUCCAAUGCAACUCUCUGUACACAUAGUUACACAUUGGCAUAUAAGCAGAGACUGCACCGGAGCCCGCACACUCAGGGGGUCCAUCAGGUGGCCAUACACUUAGGGCCACCCAAUGGCAAAAGUGUUUUCAGUAGCCAGGUUACACGCUGCGGCCCUUAACAGUGCAGCUAGGCCCCUGUAAUCUUCCUCCCAGAAAACACAGAGCCGGAUGGGAGGAUGGCAGAGAGGAGGUUGUGGAGUGGGAGAACCUCUGACUCUCAACAGCCUCAGCCAGUCUAUUGGACCCCAGGGAAGCAACCCUCUUGCACCCAAAAGGUAGGAAACAGGAGGGUGGCUCAAAAUGUUUACAUUUUGCAUGUAUAUGUGUGUCAGUGAAUCUAUGUGUCUGCGUGUGUAUCUUUGUGUCAAUGUGUACUCCAUGUAUCUGUGUGUCUGUAUAUGUGUAUUAGUAUUUGCAUGAGUAUCAUUGUGUGUAUCUGUGUGUGUGUCUGUGUGUUAGUGUGUGUAUCUGCAUGAGUGCCAGUGUGUGUGUCUGUGUGUAUCUGUAUCACUGAGUGUAGCAGUGCAAAUGUAUAUGUGCAUACAUCUCAGCAUUCAAACUUAAACACUAUAAACAAAUACACCACUGCAUUCAAACAUCAACACCACAUACAAACACACCUCUACAUACAAAGGCAAACACUACACACUACACAGGUAAACAACUGUUUUUAAAUGGCAACAGUACAUAAAAACACACAAUGCAAAACUAACACAAAUACACACCUACAUUCACACACAUACUCAAUACAAAAACAUGCUUGCAUUCAAACAUACAAACAUUGUUCAGUGCUAAAUACAACUUUGCAAGGAUCGGCAAAUGGUAGAUCCCCAGCUGGCAAAGCAUUGUGGGAGUUGUACAACAGAAGGGGAUCUAUUUUUUUUUCUGUCCUUGCAAUAGGAGGUCACCAAAAAAUGUCUGCACCAGGGCCCUCUCUACUUUAGUUCUGCCACUGCAAAUACCCUAGUCUCCCACACACUGUUAGACAUUAACAAACUGCAAGACACACAAUACAACCCACACUGCUAAACCGACACAUUGACGAAGAUGUUAUUUUUAGCACCUCCAUUUUGCUUUCCAUUUAGCAGCAGGAGUUCCAGAAGCGAUCAGGCUGGCCGGGGCAAGGGCAGAUGCUUCGGUUGGCUGCUCUCUUCCAGCACGGUUUCGUCUUCCAAAUCGCUGGGAAGAAGUGAUCUGAGAUUGGUUCCUCCGAGCACUGCCACAAGUGAAUUAAUUGAGGACUGACAUUAAUUAAUUGAGGGCUGCUCUCACUGCCUGCUGUAAACAGGAACUAGCAGAUAUCUGAAGAAGUCCUACUGGGACCACUUUCAGGCCAGCUUUGGGGGAGACCCUCAGAUUUCCCCAGCCUCUUUGGCCCUGGCACCCCUGUGUGCCGUGCAGACACCUUCCGUGCCAUAGGUUGCUGACUGCUGUUUAAGACUAAAAUUUGCAAUUCCCUUGUCAACUAUAUACAAUAAACACACUUGAAAGCAAUGUGACAUAUCAAUUCUAUAGUGUAAUAGGUAUUGUUUUUUUGUUUUUUUUAUAUCCAGAGGUUCUAAGCCGUUACAGGCCCUCUCAUAUCGAAGGUAUACACAUAUAGUUAAAGGAAGAGCUCAACUGAGAGUGGGUGGUAAAUAUGUGGCUUACAAGGUAAGGGGUGCUUUUUAAGGGGAACAAAAUCCGCCCCCACACCGGAUAUAAAUACAUAAUAGAAAUAACAAUAACCCCAAGACACACCAAUUUGCACAUAAAAAAGAGUUUAUUCAUACAUACAAAGUAGGGAUUGAUCGAUUAUCGAUUUUACCGAUAUUAUUGGCCAAUAUUUUCGGCCAAUAUAGAUACCGAUAUUGCCGAUAAUACCUCCUAGGACUGCCGGGCUCAUUAUAAGCCCGGUGGUCCUGGGGGGGCCCGCAGAAGCUCUUACUUACCUUUCCAGAAGCUCCCUUCAGUUUCCUGUGUAAAUCUGACGAGUCCCGCGGCCGUCAGAGCGUUACCAUGGGUUACCAUGGCAAUGCUCCGCGCAGCACGCUAGCCGCGAGAUUUACACAGGGAGUUGAUGGGAGCUGCUGGAAAGGUAAGUUAGAGCUUCUGCGGGCCCCCCUGCUCAGUACAUGCCACUGGACCACCAGGGAAUGCCACAGCCCCCUCCCUGGUCAGGUAACAAGCAGGGAGGGGGGACAAAAAAAAAAAUCAAACACAGAAAUAUUAAAUAUAAAAUUACUAUAAUUUUACACAAAUUAAAUUUUGCACAAAUUACAUCACUUCAGAAACACACACACACACUACACAAACACACAUACACUCUGCAUUAUACACACACACUACACAGACACACACUACACAAACACACACUCUGCAUUCAUUAUAUACACAACUAUACAAACACACACACACUGCAUUAUACACACACUACACAAACACACACACUGCAUUCAUUAUAUACACAAACACACUCUGCAUUAUACACACACUACACAAAAACACACACACACUCUGCAUUCAUUAUAUACAAAACUAUACAAACAUACACACACUCUGCAUUAUACACACACACUACACAAAACGGCACACACUGCAUUCAUUAUAUACACACACUACACAAACACACACACUGAAUUAACUAUGCACACACUACACACACACUGCAUUCACUAUACACACUGCACACAUACUGCAUUCACUUUACGCCCACUACACACUACAUUCACUAUAUGCACACUACACAAACACACACUCUGCAUUCACGAUAUAUACACACUACACAAACACUCACUGCGUUCACUUUACACACUACACAAACACACCCUGCUUUCAUUAUAUACACACUACACAAAUGCACACUGCAUCCACCAGCCAAACACACACAGCUCCCCUGUUUAAACACACUGCAUCCACUACAUGUGGCAUGCAUAUUUUGUGCAUUUACCUUAAGAAAUAGUUUAUUUUUUCAAAAUGGUAAAUGUACAGAAUAUCGGCAAGUUAUCGGCUAUCAGCCUGAGUUCACAGAUUAUCGGUAUCGGCUCUAAAAAAUCAAUAUUGGUCGAUCUCUAAUACAAAGUACAUCAGAAUAUCUUAACAGAAGUAAAGUGCAUAGUAAAGUGUAUAGCCCAUUAAUAGUACCAAAAAACCACAGUAAUAAAGUGCUAGAUGCAAUCACCCAUUAAAAAGGUAUACUGACCAAAUAAAAACCCUGACUUUUUGGCUAUGAAGCCUUCCCCUGGGGGACCUCUCCCUCUCAUAUCGAGGCCCAUUAGAUCUUAAUGUCAUGACAACAUUCCUAACAGAACCCAAAGCUCCAAGAGAGCAAACAGAAGCACAAGCAUGAGCAAAUCCUCACAGUGUGUUCUCCUGAGAGUCUAGUUGCGAAGAUCUGUUCUUUGAGGCUUUACCGAGAUUGUUCAGUAAGCACAAUUGUCCAGCAUGUCCUUUACUGGAAUAAAUUAGGCAGCUUUUUUUUGUUGGUGAUAGUGGCAUGAGAAUUCCAAAUUUUAUUAAAUGACACGAAGGCUCAUAUUAUGCUUUUUUUUCAUUCUUUAUUCUUCAGCAGCAAAGAAAGGAUACUGUAAUAUUCAUAGAAAGAAUUCAAACAUGCACCCUGAAAGGGUUAACAACAUAAUAUGACAUCCAAUAAGAAAGCUCCUUGUACCAUAAGCCCCCAUGUGACCCUAAGCCACUCCUCUUUCUUUGCUGCUGCCUCCUCAGCUAAGUAUAAUUCAAUUUUCUCCCUGUCAUUACCAGUUAAUUUUAGUGUCAUUUUCAUGUUUGUGUUCCUGACCUUAUAGUUCUCCUUUAAGUAGAUGCCAAGACAAUACACUGGAUGUCCUUGGUCCCAGUGCUAAAAUAUUGGACAUGGUCGAAAUGGCCCUGGGAGGUGGUACUCCUGCGGAUUUGCUGACCAUCAGGUGUUGGAUCCAGUGAUCCGUUUGUUUGCUUGGCAAUGCCAAUACGGCAUUGGCUACUUGCAAGGCAAUCCUUAUAAAGAUUAAACCAAAAUUGGUGAACAUGGCUAUAUUUGAACCUGGCCACAGGCAAAAAUACCUCCUUUUUGGGGACAAUUUUGUGAAGGAACUGGGCACGUAUGUGUGGACUUUUACCGCACUCGAUAAGGCGCAAGCCAAUAUGAACAAAGUAUUCUCCCAAAGAGGUUUUAGCAGGGCUGGCAGAUAUUUGGGUGUAUGCCCGGCCGUUCCUCCCUGGGAUCGUACCGGGGUUCUCGAGGCUCCAUGCACUCCUGAUUCCAAGUUCCUGAACCUAAAAACACCUCACCAUUCUUCCAAGUUCGUGGCAGGCCUUGGCAGUCUCAUGGAUCCAAAGGUUUAUCCUAUGGCUGAUUGCCUUAUGGUAAGGCACUAUGGUAUUCACUUCCAUCACAUCUCUCUUCAAUAGCAAUUGUGGGGGGCAGAUUAUGCCAUUUUGUUAAAUGCCUGGCGCAUGUUAACUUCGGACUCGUGGGUCCUGCAAACUGUUCUGGGUUAUUCCAUAGAUUUUGUUCAAUACCCUGUUCUAAUGUGGCUACCCAACCAAAUAGUUUUCUCUUCACAUGACCGGUAGCUGUGGAGAUACAGUCUCUAGCUACCAAAGGCACAAUCUCAGAGAUGCAUUCACACACCCAAAGGUUUCUAAGCAAUCUCUUCCUUGUACCGAAGAAAUUUACACCCGCUAAACGCAUUUGUCGCAUACCACUAUUUCAAGAUGGAAGGUAUUCACUCUCUCCGAGACCUACUUCUGCUGGGGGAUUGGAUGGUCAAGCUUGACCUGCAAGACGCGUACCUCAAUAUUCUGAUGGUCAAGGACUGCCAGCAGUUCCUGCAAUUCUGGUGGGAGAAGACCAUGUGGCAUUUCAAUUGCCAAACGGGUUACACAUCAAUUGCCACGAACUACUGGCAGACUUGUUUGCCCUUCAAAGUCUAUUAGGGAUUUUGACCAACUGCUCCAUCCUUUUUCGUAUGGACAACGUUUCGGCAGUUUGCUACAUCAACCAUCUCUGAGGCAUUAUGUCCACGGUUUUGGUGGAACUGGCCAAAGAAUUCUGGCAAUUCUGCCUGGAUCACAUUAUCUCGGUUCAGGCGGAAUACAUUCCAGGCAUGUCCAACAUAGUGGUAGAUUGUAACUCCAGAUUUUAUUAAGGACACAGAGGCUAGUGUUAUCCCACCCUAUACAGGUACGUUGCGCCCUCCCUUAUAUGUUUUUCUGAAGAGGUUAUUACACGGUCUUAUGAUUUUGCUGUGUAUUUACCUAAUUGAUGGUUCUAUUAUGAUACUAUUCUGUUCAUAUUGGAUAUUUUAGUAUAUUUAAUAAUGCAUUAUAGAUGUAUUUCAAAAUCCGGAAACACAUUUUAACAGUUUGUUUCUCUGUUCCUUUUAGCUUCCUAACUGGACUUGGCACAGUUUUGCAUUCGUUCCUUCCUUGUUCCAACAGAGGAUCUCGUCUUCCAUGAAAUACUGGUGUCAUCCACCUAUGGAGUUGCUGUUUCUUCUUCACGUUUGACCAUAUGUUUUCUUAGAUUUAGAUGUUCGUCGGCAUCAUCAAUAAAGAGUAGUGGCUUAGGGUCACAUGGGGGCUUAUGGUGCAAGGAACAUUCUUAUUGGAUGUCAUGUUGUUAACCCUUUGAGGGUGUAUGUUUGAAUUUUUGCUAUGAAUAUUACAGUAUCCUUUAUUUGCUGCUGAG